UUUCACGUUCUCUCCCCAGGCGGCCCACAGUUAAAAACUGAAUGGCAUAAGGAUACUGAAGGCAAGCCCUGUUGCCUCAAGAGGGAACAACUCUGUGGUGCCCCUCACACUCCAGAGACAUCCUGGGAUCAGGCUGAGCCUAGAACUCAUCUGAAAUCACUUACUUGCUUGGUUCCUUUCCCAGCUUUGUAUCCUGCUUCCCCCGCUUCCUUACAACUUCUCCUAAGAGAGCUUCUUCAAUAAAUCACUGGAUAAGAAUUUCAGUCUCAGGUUCUGUUUCUAGGGAAUCCGACCUAAGACAUUUAUUCAACAAAUGUUUAUUGAACACUUGCUUUGUGCCAAGUUUUGAGCUAAACUCCAGGGAUUCAGAUAUCAAUAUACCACAGUUCGUUCUUUCUGGAGUUUGAGUUCUUGGAGGGGAUGGGGGGUGGGGGGCCAGUACAUGGACAGCUAAUAAAAUGUGAAAAAAGACCAUAACCAACAGACUCUAUCAGAAACAUGUCACAGGAUCAAAGAGAAGAGAACACCUAGCUCUGCAUAGAGUGAGGAGAAAGGUGAGACAUCAUGAAAGACUCCACAAAGAAGACUGCAAGUGAUAAAAUAGGAGUUCAUCAAGUUGAUUAGUGUAAGAAAGAUUUAAAGGAAAGAGGGGCAGUCCUGUGAAACAGUGGAGUGACACAAAAGAGCAAGGAGACUCUCUGCAGACUGCUAAAAGGACCUCAUUUGAGUAAACUGAGUAUGUGAAUGCCCUAUAGAGCUGUUACGGAGAAAGAGUGUGACGGUUAAUACUGUCAACUUGAUUAGAUUGAAGGAUGAGAAGUAUUGUUCCUGGGUGUGUCUGUGAAGGUGUUGCCAAAGGAGUUUAACAUUUGAGUCAGUGGACUAGGAAAGGCAGACCUACCCUCAAUCAGCUGCCAGCACAGCCAGAAUAAAAGCAGGCAGAAGAAUUUGAAAAGACUAGACUGGUUUAGUCUUCUCGCCUCCAUCUUUCUCCCAUGCUGGGUGCUUCCUGACCUCAAACACCGGACUCCAAGUUCUUCAGUUUUGGGACUCAACUGGCUUCCUGGCUCCUCAGCUUGCAUACGAUCUAUUGUGGGACCUCAUCUUGUGAUCGUGUGAGUCAAUCCUCAUUAACAAAUUCCUCUAUAUAUACAUCUACCCUAUUAGUUCUGUCCCUCUAGAGAAGCCUGACUAAUACAUUGAGUAGGUAUUAUGUAUCAUGCAGAAUGGGAAGGGUUUUUACAAGAAUAAAUUUUAAUCUUAAUCUCAAACUUUCAAGGUAGUUUUUGAAGAUCAGAUAAAUUUACAAUCUGCUCCAAAUAUCACAGCUAGUAAAUGACAUACUUGUCUUCUAAACUUCAGUUUAUCUGGUUCUAAAUAAUAUACAUUUCAAAUGUACAAUUCUGGUGUAUUAUAAGACACAAGUGCUAGAUUGCAUAAUAGUAUAUCCUUUAAUUUGGAAUAUCAAUGAAACUGUUUUCAUGAGCCAUGGGAAUUUGUGAAAAAAAAUGGAUUGAGAUUGGAGUUCAAAAUUUGGCUGUAUUUCUUAUGUUAUAGUCUUAGUUCAUUCAAUUGUAAAGGGACUCAAUUAUCUCUACUAGCUCAGGUGAAAAACUACAAACAGUCUGAAAUAAUUAAUGUUUGGUUGUAGAGUAUAACUCAUUUGGAGUUCUAUCAGCCUCUCAAUGAAUUCUUUCCGACUACCAGUUUAAAUCUUAAUGUAAGUGUAGCUGAGAAAGUUUGUCGUUUCUGCAUUCCCAAGAUCACUUGGCCAAUCAUGGUGAUCUAAACCAUUAUCAGAACUCAACUAAAAUAUAAAAUGCAUGAAGCUAAACGUGCCUUCUUUUCACGACUUUCUAAGAGGAGUUUUGGUUAAGCUUUGGGGCAGCACAGGAUAUCCUUAUGGAAACAAAAUCUAUAAGCAAAAGAGAGAAAAAUAGAAUGGAUCUAUCUUCUUGUGAAGUCCUUGUACAUGUCUGGUAAUCAGCCAGGUAUUUCCCAUCUGAUAAUCUAAUUCACCCCUCCCAAUUCUAUGGGUUAAGUAUUAUCACACCAUUUUCACGCUUGUGAGAAAAGACUCAGAUUAAAUUAUCAGCCAGUAUCCUUCAGGUGGCAAGUAGUUAGAGCCAGCAAUCAAAGAAACCUUGCACUUUUGAUCUAAUGUUGCAUCACAACUCUAUUUUUGAACUGCGUAGAGUAGUAUAGUAGCUACUAGAAUAGUAUAAAUACAGUAGCCACUAGCCAUUUAUGGUAUUUGAAUACUUGAAAUCAGACUAAACCAAACUGACUCGUGUUAUACAUUUCACAUGCACACCAGAGUUCAAGAACUUAGUACAAAAAAACCACAAAUGUGAAAUAUAUAAAAACAGGAAGUGAUUAUUUUAAUUAUAUUGGAUUAAGUUAAAAUUUUAAAAAUUAAUUUCAUGGAUUUCUCUAUACUUUUAAAAAUAUUGCUAGUAGAAAAUUUAAAAUUACAUAUGAAGCAUGUAUUUUAUUUCUUUUAGACAAUGCUGGCAUAGACUCUUUCAUAGGGAGCCAGGGAAAUUUAGUUUUGUAAGACACUUGUGCUCAUCACUGUCUGUGAUACCUUAAGCCAAAUCUUAGUUUAACUGAGCUGUGUUUUUUCAUCUAACAAAUGUGGAUAAUAACAUAUGCUCUGCAGGGCUUACACUGGGGCUAGAGGCAAAGUAUGUAAAGCAUUUUCCAAGCGUCUGUACCAUAAGGGGCACUUGAGACAAAGUAAUAGUAAUAAUCUGUAUAAAAUUUUAAAUUCUACAUUUUGAAGCCCUUUGGACUCCAAACACUAUACUUUUUCCACUUCCCAUAUGAUUUCCCUAUCAAAAAAGUUGAUAGUAUGCUCAACAUCAUGAGACCUCAAGAGGAAGUGAGGAGGUAAGAAUAUUGAAGUUUCAGAUAAGCAAAUGAAUAUGCAAUGUGGGCCCUCGAAAAUAAAUGAUGGCAAAACAACAAACUUUGAGUUUGGUUUCAAUGUGUUUUUAUUGUUGGCAAUGAGGCUUUCAGCACUAUUUGCUAUAAUCUUCCCACAGAUAAUCACAUUUAACAUUUUCCCACAAGUCUGCUUAAUAAAUAUACUUAUUUACGUGCAAAAUCAUUCAAAGGUUAAGCCCUUAGCUGUUACUUAUAAAUUAUGUAGCUAUAUAUCAUGUAUCAAUUUUAGGUCCAUCUAGGCAGAACUACAUAAAAACCAUGCCUGUAAGCGUUAACUAGGGCUAUAACCAUUCUCAUAGAGGCCUUUGAUAAAUUCAAAAUUUCUUGUAGAUAUUUAAACUUUCAUUCUAUGAUGAAGACCAUAUAUGCAUUUUAGCAUAUACCAUUAUAGUAAAUAAAUUAUAAAAUUAUUAUUAUGGUUCUGAUAUUAAUCUACAAAUUUCUUUUCACCCAGAAGUUCAUACUAAUGUUCAACCAGAGUAGCUGACAAAUACUUCUGAUCUGUUUGGGGCCUUCUUUGGCAGUCCCAUGUUAUUUUCCUUUUGUAGAGAGGAUCUGUUUAGGAUCUAUUAACUGCAGGGAAUCUGUGCAUUAAAAUGACAAUUAUUAAGGACAAACCUUCAUCAGGUAAUAGCUGCUAUGGAAGCCUUUACUUCCCACCAAUAAACUCCACUGAAUGCUAUUUACCUAAUUUUCUUAUUAUGCCAAAGCACUGUGACAUUCUCCAAGACAGUUUCUCUAAUCUAAUCACUCUCUAUCUGUAUUCUUUCAAAUGAGAGACCAGCAUGUGGUGCUUCUAUGAUGAUCAGAAAGAUAUUUUAAGCAAUUUUUGGCAUGGAAAGUCACUUUUGGAUUCAAAUCUGAGCUGAAAGGGAUAUGUCAUUGCAGAAAUGAGGACUCUGUGACACUUCCUGUGCCACACCAUGAAAUCUCUCCUCUGUAACUGCUCAGAGACAUUAACAUCUAAUUACUUUCUGCUCAUAAUUGUGAAUGUUACAUUUGCAAACAGCCAUUUUCUAAGAACUAAUAUGGCUAUUUGUGUCCAAAAUCAUCUCCAUGUACUUUAUUUUCUGUGGGCUAAUUUUGAGAAGGUUGUUUACAUCUUGAACAAUUGUUUGUAUACAAAAAGUGCAAAAUGAGGGAAUGUCAAAGGAACUAGCACCAGGUUUAAUGCUUUGCCUGUUAAGCCAGUUUUUUUCUCACUAAAACUGU
rnacentral:lncRNA from 1 species